CCCUGGUAGUCCAUGCCGUAAACGUUGGGCACUAGGUGUGGGGGACAUUCCACGUUUUCCGCGCCGUAGCUAACGCAUUAAGUGCCCCGCCUGGGGAGUACGGCCGCAAGGCUAAAACUCAAAGGAAUUGACGGGGGCCCGCACAAGCGGCGGAGCAUGCGGAUUAAUUCGAUGCAACGCGAAGAACCUUACCAAGGCUUGACAUGGACUGGAAAUACCUGGAAACAGGUGCCCCGCUUGCGGCCGGUUCACAGGUGGUGCAUGGUUGUCGUCAGCUCGUGUCGUGAGAUGUUGGGUUAAGUCCCGCAACGAGCGCAACCCUCGUUCUAUGUUGCCAGCGCGUGAUGGCGGG
rnacentral:rRNA from 1 species